rnacentral:lncRNA from 1 species
AAAUGGCAAGAUCAUCUACACCUAUAAGCAAGAUAUCUACAGCAAAAAAGAAAUUCAUCUGUUUAAAAAAGCAACUGAAUAUUUGCUGCACAUCAACCGCAGAUAUGAUGAUUAAAGAUCAAAUCCCAUGUAGCAAUUGUACAUGACCUUUGUUUUCAACUUUUCUUUCUGCUUUGCCUAUAACAUUUGAAAUGCCACUCAUACCCAAACUCUUCCUAAUUAUUUCUGUCUUCCAAUGUUUCCUUUAUUUCAUGAAAUGAAUAGUAACUUGAUUCCAGUAUUAGCUGGAAAUCUAGGGAUCAUGGACCCCAUAUCAGGCUGAGUAUUUUUGUGUUUGUUUCCACAACCACUGUAUAAUAGCUCUUUUGCA